CUGCUCGCUACGACAGCACAUAUAGUAACAUUGGAAGGAUACAGAGAAGAUUAGCAUGGCCCCUGGCGCGAGGAUAACACGCAAAAUCGUGAAGCGUUCCAUGUUCUU